CCCGCGAUGGCCGAGACCACAGGCAUUAAGCUUUUAACUUAGACACAGUACAACACUUCGUGGGC
rnacentral:tRNA from 1 species